CCUACUUCAUACGCCAUUCCGCAUCCCCGGCCAUGUUAAUCACCAAGUAUAAGAUUCCCUCGCUCUACUCAGCUUCUCUUCUUUGAAUAGCGGUGUUUCACGACAUCCUUCCCGCUCCAUUGACGAGCCUUACAAUGGGCAAUUCCGUAUUAGAACCAUUACCCAUCACUGUACCCUCUCGCUCUAUCGACUGGCUAAAGACCGGAAUUAACAUUUGGCGCCCAACAGCGGUUCUGAACAACACGACGACCUGAGAUUGACGCAGAUUGCUGUCUCAAGACUUCGCUUCGGGUAGACACUGGUUGCAGAGCGUUGUCUCCCUGUUGCGCCCGGGUACCGGAUUUCCACAACUCGUGCCAUAUUGUCCGGACCAGCUUAUGGAAUUGGGAAGAUGACAAUCGAUCGGCGACCGCAACAUUCAAAGCAGGGAAGAGUUGAUUAUUAGCCCAA